rnacentral:rRNA from 1 species
UAAAUAGCCAGGCUGGCUUUCGCUGGUCGCCGGCUUCUUAGAGGGACUGUCAGCGUCUAGCUGACGGAAGUUUGAGGCAAUAACAGGUCUGUGAUGCCCUUAGAUGUUCUG